GUCGAUGCUGAUUGUGUGUGUUUUUUUUACAGGAUGGAGAACAAAAGUGCAUUCCCUCCAGUGACUUUGAGUGUGAAGAGGCGUUAUUGGCCCAGGGUUCUGAGGGAGAGGAGGGUAGAGCCCAGCACUCUGCAGCAGCCCCUGGAACCCUGAUUGUGAGAGAGUGUGUGAGUGUGUGCAUGUCUAUGUUGGGGCUUCUGCUCCAGGCUCUGUAGCAGACACACACACUCCUGACUAAUGACCUCAAAACCCUGUCCUCGGGGUCAGACACGAAGCCCAAACGCCACCCACAGGAAGUUAUUUGACAUCACAUCCUCCACUACCAUGUCAACGGCAACCAAAACAACAACAUCAACAGAAAAACUGAGAGAAGAUUAAAGCAGAGUAGAAGAGAGGAGGAAAGGUAUGGAGAGGAGAAGUGAUGAGGUGAGGAGGAUAAGAGAGAGAGAGGACAGAGAAGAGACUGGCACUCAUUCUACAGAGAGACAAAGGAGAGAGAGAAGGAGACAGACGCUGGAUGGAUGAUUAUACACAGGCCCUGUCCCAUCCUCCCACCCUGAACACUGUGGACUCUCAGGUCUGCAUUACCACCCUUUGUCGUGAUGUGUUUCUGAGUGUAUAGACACUUUGCCUGAGACGGCAGUUGUGAUGUCUAACUGAUAGAGUGCAGAAUGAGUUGGGGAAGUGUGCUGCCAACAGACUCACUUCCUAAAAAAUCUGAUGGGACACUACACCUCCAGAAAUUCCUCCUCAUACGCAAUUUAAAAGAAACUGUAAACAGUGUGCGAAUUACGGGGGAGACGGGGGGUGCUCAACUCCCCUGAAUGAGAUGUUAGCUCCCCUAAAUGCAACAAAAGUCAAAAGUCUACAAAUAAUGCUAAUUAAACCAUUCUCCUAUUUGUUUAAAAUGCAGUGGUAAAUAUGUUUUACAGUGGUAAAUAUGAGAAUAAAAGCUUCCAAAUGAA